CAGUAGCGGCGAGUGAGCGGCAGAGCUCAGAUUUGAAAUCGUGUUUCGGCACGAGUUGUAGAGUGUAGGCGGGAGUCUCUGUGGAGCGCGGUGUCCAAGUCCCUUGGAACAGGGUGCCUGAGAGGGUGAGAGCCCCGUAGGGUGCUGCGCGAAGCUUUUGAGGCCCUGCUGACGAGUCGAGUUGUUUGGGAAUGCAGCUCCAAGCGGGUGGUAAAUUCCAUCUAAGGCUAAAUAUUGGCGAGAGACCGAUAGCGAACAAGUACUGUGAAGGAAAGAUGAAAAGCACUUUGAAAAGAGAGUGAAACAGCACGUGAAAUUGUUGAAAGGGAAGGGUAUUGGGCUCGACAUGGGGGGUGCGCACCGCUGUCUCUUGUAGGCGGCGCUCUGGGCGCCCUCUGGGCCAGCAUCGGUUCCUGCUGCGGGAGAAGGGGCUCCGGAAAGUGGCUCUUCGGAGUGUUAUAGCCGGGGCCAGAUGCCGCGUGUGGGGACCGAGGACUGCGGCUUCUGUCUCGGAUGCUGGCAUAACGGCGCAAUACCGCCCGUCUUGACCCCCGGACCA
rnacentral:rRNA from 1 species